CUACGGGAUGCAGCAGUGAGGAAUAUUGCACAAUGGGGGGAACCCUGAUGCAGCAACGCCGCGUGGAGGAUGACGCAUUUCGGUGUGUAAACUCCUUUUAUAUGUCAAGAAAAUGACGGUAGCAUAUGAAUAAGCACCGGCUAACUCCGUGCCAGCAGCCGCGGUAAUACGGAGGGUGCAAGCGUUACUCGGAAUCACUGGGCGUAAAGGACGCGUAGGCGGGUUGGAAAGUCAGGUGUGAAAUCCUACAGCUUAACUGUAGAACUGCACUUGAAACUUCUAAUCUAGAGUAUGGGGGGGGAGAUGGAAUUAGUGGUGUAGGGGUAAAAUCCGUAGAUAUCACUAGGAAUACCUAAAGCGAAGGCGAUCCCCUGGAACAUUACUGACGCUAAGGCGUGAAAGCGUGGGGAGCAAACAGGAUUAGAUACCCUCGUAGUC
rnacentral:rRNA from 1 species